GACAACUAUAAUUUAAAAAUAUGGCACCCUGCUAAUUGUCACAGAUGAUUUUGCCCAGGGACACUGUGAGAUACUUACUUCUCUGCUUGUGCUCAUACUACACAAUAGUAACAGCCCAAAUCGGUUCCAAAGGAAAAGGUGAUGCUCGGCGGUAGUUUAAUGAAUUGUUUUGACCCAGUGAAAUACACCGUGUCCCCUCCUAGUAAUGAGACACUCGGCAGAAAGUAUCACAUGGCAGGAACAAUGGCAGCAGGCUGGCACAAAGCCCCGUCACCUCUGAGCAAUCUCUCCCCAGACAAUGCAGGGGAAGAUCAGGGAAUAAUACAGCCUUAGACGUGAUCUGAUGCUGGAAAGAACACGAGAGAGAAGUGGAAAGGAAAAUGGCAAACAGAUAUCUAUAAAUAAAAACAUGGUCAUACACAUCAUGCUCAACACCAAAAUGAGCAGCAGUGAGAUACAUCAGGACAAGAGAAGAGGAAAAUUCCCACCACCUUGCUUCUUUCACUUUGCCAGUGGAGCUGAAGAUGGGACAAUCCAAGGCUCAACUUCCUUUCCCUUCCCUGCAGACUGGGUCAUGCUCACUCUUGGGAUGCACAUGGAGAGCUUUGUCUCCCAAGCAAUUAAGCAGCAUGUUUGGCAUAUGCAAAUGAGAUGACAGCAUUACCUUUAAAUGCAACCUUCACUCAAAAUUUCUGGAGGCUUAAUGUCAUUCAAUCAAUCAAGAUCAUAAUAAGCCAUGCAAGGCACAAGUAGCCUUCUGAAAAUGAAAACAGAUUCAAUGUGCAUUAAACGAAAUGUGUUCUUAAAUCCCAAGCUGCUCAAAACAGUAAUACCUAGCUAAAAAAAAAAAAAAAAAAAAAGAUUGUCAUCCAUAAAAAAUGUCUUGUGACUACAACAAAAAGUGAACUCUGCAUGGAUUUGAAUUCCC
rnacentral:lncRNA from 12 species